UACGUAGGUGACAAGCGUUGUCCGGAUUUACUGGGCGUAAAGAGCGCGCAGGCGGUCGAUCAAGUCGAGUGUGAAAGCCCCCGGCUCAACUGGGGAGGGUCAUUCGAUACUGAUCGACUCGAAGGCAGGAGAGGGUAGUGGAAUUCCCGGUGUAGCGGUGAAAUGCGCAGAUAUCGGGAGGAACACCAAUGGCGAAGGCAGCUCGCUGGGACGUUACUGACGCUGAGACGCGAAAGCGUGGGGAGCAAACAGG
rnacentral:rRNA from 1 species